UUAUUCUGGGUUGCCUUGAACCCAAUUUAAAAUUAGGGAUUGGGAGCAAAUGUAUAGUUUCUGUUGCCAUGUCCUAUAUAGUCUUAAUCCUGGAGCUAUAUUACCCAGUGGAGAUACCAUUGACAAGGAACAAUCAAAUGAUCCUAGCACAGAACAUCAAAAACUCUUAGAAUUUCCGGAGUGAUAGGGGUGUCUUUGUUAUGCUAAUGAGAGGACUAAUGGUGGGCCUCUAGAUAGCUUUGGAAUGGAAGAUUGGUGACCAGAAAUGCCCAGCAUGUGAUUAGAGAGUUGGAACUUUGGACCAGCCCAACCUCUAGGAAUAAGGGGGAAGGAGGAGGAGUAGAGAUCCAGUUUAAUCACGUGGCCAAUCAUAUAAUCAAUCUUGCCUACAAAAAGAAGCUCCAGUAAAAACUCUGCCCACUGAGGUGAAGGUUGCUGAAUUAGCAAAACUCCAAAUUGUUAUUGAAUAGCAUAAUUAAUGGGUCCUAAAGGACGAAUGAGACAGAAUCUCUAAUUCUACUUCAAGAGGAGUAUCCUGUUUCUCAUUGACCAUUCAAGUCCAUACCAUAAGGGUCCAAAAUAAGAGGAUGCCUGUGGACCAAGGAAUGAAACAAGAUUUCUUUCAACAUUGGAAAGCAUUUUGUCAGUUUUGGACCCAAAAACAACGUCUGUAACUGUGAACUGGAGUUGAGAACUGGGGCCCUUUUAAAAGAAUGAUUCCGCUAGAAAAUAUUUUUGUUUUCUUUACCUUGGGAAGCAUCCUUCGGUUUAAGUAAAUACAAGUGCACUAAACCUGUGAAUUUUUAUCAGGUGUUUUGAAACUGAGUGGGAUUUUGCCAAGUUUCAGGGGCUUGGUAGAUUCUCAUUGGUCAA